rnacentral:rRNA from 1 species
AUUGAACGCUGGCGGCAUGCCUUACACAUGCAAGUCGAACGGCAGCACGGGUACUUGCUCCUGGUGGCGAGUGGCGAACGGGUGAGUAAUACAUCGGAACAUGUCCUGUAGUGGGGGAUAGCCCGGCGAAAGCCGGAUUAAUACCGCAUACGAUCUACGGAUGAAAGCGGGGGACCUUCGGGCCUCGCGCUAUAGGGUUGGCCGAUGGCUGAUUAGCUAGUUGGUGGGGUAAAGGCCUACCAAGGCGACGAUCAGUAGAUGGUCUGAGAGGACGACCAGCCACACUGGGACUGAGACACGGCCCAGACGCCUACGGGAGGCAGCAGUGGGGAAUUUUGGACAAUGGGCGAAAGCCUGAUCCAGCAAUGCCGCGUGUGUGAAGAAGGCCUUCGGGUUGUAAAGCACUUUUGUCCGGAAAGAAAUCCUUGGCUCUAAUACAGUCGGGGGAUGACGGUACCGGAAGAAUAAGCACCGGCUAACUACGUG